rnacentral:rRNA from 1 species
UACGUAGGGUGCAAGCGUUGUCCGGAAUUAUUGGGCGUAAAGAGCUCGUAGGCGGUCUGUCGCGUCGGCUGUGAAAACCCGGGGCUCAACCCCGGGCCUGCAGUCGAUACGGGCAGACUAGAGUGCGGUAGAGGAGACUGGAAUUCCUGGUGUAGCGGUGAAAUGCGCAGAUAUCAGGAGGAACACCGGUGGCGAAGGCGGGUCUCUGGGCCGUAACUGACGCUGAGGAGCGAAAGCGUGGGGAGCGAACAGG